UGGGGAAUAUUGCGCAAUGGGCGAAAGCCUGACGCAGCGACGCCGCGUGAGGGAUGAAGGUUUUCGGAUCGUAAACCUCUGUCAGAAGGGAAGAAACCGCACUGUGCUAAUCAGCAGUGCCUUGACGGUACCUUCAAAGGAAGCACCGGCUAACUCCGUGCCAGCAGCCGCGGUAAUACGGAGGGUGCAAGCGUUAAUCGGAAUUACUGGGCGUAAAGCGCACGUAGGCUGCUUUGUAAGUCAGGGGUGAAAUCCCACGGCUCAACCGUGGAACUGCCUUUGAUACUGCUUAGCUUGAAUCCGGGAGAGGGUGGCGGAAGUCCAGGUGUAGGAGUGAAAUCCGUAGAUAUCUGGAGGAACAUCAGUGGCGAAGGCGGCCACCUGGACCGGUAUUGACGCUGAGGUGCGAAAGCGUGGGGAGCAAACAGG
rnacentral:rRNA from 1 species